rnacentral:rRNA from 1 species
GCGACCCCAGGAUGGGCGAGGCCACCCGCCGAGUUAAGCAUAUC